rnacentral:rRNA from 1 species
GUGGCGCGUAUGAGCUUCGGUGGAUUUACUGGACGUCGAGCGGCGGACGGGUGAGUAACGGCUGGGAACCUGCCCUGACGAGGGGGAUAACCGUUGGAAACGACGGCUAAUACCGCAUAAUGUCUUAGUUCAUUACGAGCUGGGACCAAAGGUGGCCUCUACAUGUAAGCUAUCGCGUUGGGAUGGGCCCAGUUAGGAUUAGCUAGUUGGUAAGGUAAUGGCUUACCAAGGCAACGAUCCUUAGCUGGUUUGAGAGGAUGAUCAGCCACACUGGGACUGAGACACGGCCCAGACUCCUACGGGAGGCAGCAGUGGGGAAUAUUGCACAAUGGGGGAGACCCUGAUGCAGCCAUGCCGCGUGUGUGAAGAAGGCCUUCGGGUUGUAAAGCACUUUCAGCAGUGAGGAAGGUUGUGUACUUAAUACGUGCACGGCUUGACGUUAGCUGCAGAAGAAGCACCGGCUAACUCCGUGCCAGCAGCCGCGGUAAUACGGAGGGUGCGAGCGUUAAUCGGAAUUACUGGGCGUAAAGCGCAUGCAGACGGUUUGUUAAGUCAGAUGUGAAAGCCCGGGGCUCAACCUUGGAACCGCAUUUGAAACUGGCAGGCUAGAGUCUUGUAGAGGGGGGUAGAAUUUCAGGUGUAGCGGUGAA